rnacentral:rRNA from 1 species
GGUAAAUCUCGUGCCAGCCACCGCGGUCAUACAAGAAACCCUAGUCAAUAGCCCCCGGCGUAAAGAGUGGUCAUAUGCUAUCUACAACCCUAAGAUCGAAAUGCAACUAAGCUGUCAUAAGCCCAAGACUCACUUAAGCUCAACUUUAACCCAUCUUAGCCCAAUGAUUAAUUUAACCCCACGAAAGCCAGGACACAAACUGGGAUUAGAUACCCCACUAUGCCUGGCCCUAAAUCUAGACACCCGCACACCCGAGUGUCCGCCUGAGAACUACGAGCACAAACGCUUAAAACUCUAAGGACUUGGCGGUGCCCUAAACCCACCUAGAGGAGCCUGUUCUGUAACCGAUAAUCCACGAUUCACCCAACCACCCCUUGCCAGUACAGCCUACAUACCGCCGUCGUCAGCCCACCUGAAAUGAAAGACCAACAGUGGGCUCAAUAGCCCCCGCUAAUAAGACAGGUCAAGGUAUAGCCUAUGGGGUGGGAGAAAUGGGCUACAUUUUCUACCAUAGAAUAGACGGAAAAGGACGUGAAAUUCGUCCUUGGAAGGAGGAUUUAGCAGUAAAAUGGGACCAUAACCCUAAGCCCACUUUAAGCUGGCCCUGGGGCACGUACAUACCGCCCGUCACCCUCUUCACAGGCCACCAGUAUUGAUAAAUAAUACCUCACCCCCAGCCAAAGACGAGGUAAGUCGUAACAAGGUAAGCAUACUGGA